ensembl:lncRNA
UGUCACACAGGAUUGUUUUAAGGAUUGGCAUAAAAAAAUAAAUGUACCUAGCACAGUCUGAUUUUAUAAUGUUCAAAUUUCAUAUCACAUUUUCUGAUUUUGAAAAACACACCCCCACAACAUGAUAUAUAUUUACAAUAAGAUAAAUAUGCCAAGCACAAAAACAAACAAACAAAUCUGGAUUAUGCAAAAUAAGAAAAAGAAACCAUCAGGGCACAAAGUAUUUUUCAAGACUAUAUAUACACACAGAGAGAGAGGGAGGGGGAGGCAGAGAGAGAUAGAGAGAGAGAGAGAGAGAUUUAUUUUAAAUAUUGGCUCAAGUGAUUCUGCAGCGUCGAGACCCAGGAAAGAGAUGCAGUUUGAGUCCAAGGCUGGUCUGCCCGCAGAAUCCCCUCUUCUUCCAGAGAAGUCAGUCUUUUUCUAUGAAGGCCUUCAACUGAUUAGAUGAUGCCCUCCUAUGUUAUGGAGAAGGGGGCACGCCACGCCACGCAGGUAUGCCUCUGCAGCCGCAGAACCAGAGAGUACUGCAGAGGGUUCUCCUCCACCCAGGAGAACAUCCCGAUGGUGAGGUCCGUCCAUGGCCCCAUAAGCCUGGAGGGCCCCAGCUGCCCAAGGCCUCCUGAGUGGGCUCGUACUGCGCAUGCACAUGCUAUGCGCUGCGCGUUCAACGUAGCCAGGCAUCUGGAAGAGUUCAAAGGUGGUGAGAGGCAGGAUCACUGACACGGGCUCUUGGGGAACCUGGGCGUCUAAUUCCAAGCUGGAACCUAACCAGUGCAGUCUAUUCCUCCCAAAAGUUUCCCCUGGCAGAUCCAGGGGAAACUUGAAAAUCUUGGCACAGCUGGGUGGGGCGGAGCUCUCCUCCGAUAAGAGGUACCCGGGAGGCCUGCUUGCUGAAGGUCCUGGCUGCUGGGUCAGGUGCGGGAGAGUGAACUGUGCGUCCGGGUUCCUCACAGCCCUCUGGAACAAGGGGGAAUAUAGGCCAGCCUGGACCUUGUACCCUGACAGGACCUGAGUCAGAAGAGGCCAGGUCACCAUUGCAGGCUCUUGGGUGAAACGAAGCAUCUGCAAAUGCGCAGGACGGCACCGUUCUGAACUAAGGCGGCUAGUCACCUUAAAGCGAGAUACCGCGAGAACUCUGAAGCCUCGCUCGGUGAGACCAGAGUGUCCUGGAAUGAGAGACACGUGGGAGCCGUGGUUCCUGUACAGGCCCCAGUUCCCAUCAGCAGCACGAACAAGUGGGAACUGACUGUCGCCACCUGUGUAGCAACAGUAACUCAUCACAUUUCAGCCGGUGGGGAUGCUCCACACGGGAACGUAUCCAGGUGGUUCAUCUGAGCCGUGGACCCACAGGCCUGAAGAGCCCUAGCUGACUAAGCCAUGCUGAAUGGGGUUCCUCCGUUGGGAUCCUGGAUGUGGACCUACACACUGCUCAUCUCGCCAUGCUGUGGUGUCAUCUCACACAGGAAGAGUUACAACUAGGAUGUACAACUAUGUACUAGAGCUUUGGGGAGAAGAAGAGGAAAUUGUUAUUGACUGCAUUAGAGUUGAUUGAUUCAUUAAUCCAGACAUUAAUUCAACAAUAUUUGCUGAUGCUUGCGCAUUUAAGGUCUCAUAGAAUAGUGUUAUAAUGACGUGAAUCCUGCUUAUUGUAGUAGGAAGCAUAGUGAAAUAGUUUAAAGCCAGGUUUAGAGCCAGGAACACUUGUAUUGAAUCUCCUCAAUUCCUAUGUACAUUUUCUCAAACAAGUUGCUUAACUUAUUUAUUUCUGUUGUUUUGUCAAUGAAAUAAAUGAUGAUGAAAAUAAAUUCUCUUCUUAGUAUUGUUUUGAAGUUUAAAUGAGAUAAUAUAUUACUGUAAUCUUUUAAUAAAUAUCAAUUUUGCACCUACUAUUUGUCUCUGUACAGGAUACUGGGGAUCCAACAGUGCUUAAGAAAAUUAUGUCAUUCUUCAUGAAGUUUAUUGUCUUGUGGGGUCUUUGAACACUCAGAGAAUUGCUAAGGAGUUGAAUGCUUUCGUUGCAAGCUUGUGGGCUUUUCCCUUGGACUCUUUAAAAAUAACUACACAUCUCUGUUUUGAGACAAAUACAAGCUCUUAAUGUUUUCUGAGAUGCAUGCUGUAUAACGUUUUCUCUGUAUAUUACUAAAAAUGUGUAGGUAAAUUAAAGUGUAUGAGGCCAUUGUAAUUUCAUUAAUGCUUUAUCUUCAUGUAUAUUUGAUCUUUGAUGGACAGCAGAUACUAUGUAAUCACUUACUCAGAAAGUGAUCAACAAAUAAUACAUGCAAAAGAGACAAAGAGAGAUAGACAAUAUUAUAUGGGGAUAGAAAUGAUUUCUUUCAGAGAAAGCUUUUUGAAGGAGGUGGCAUUUGAGCUGGACCUUAAAAGAAUAGGUAAUAUUCUAAGCAUCAUUCAGAUCACAUCUAAUUGAAAAAAUUUAGCACAUAUCAUAUACUCAAAAUAGAGGGCUUUAUGCAUUAAAAAAAAGAGUUUUGCUGUCCUUAAAGAUAAAUGAAUUUGAAAUGAAUGGAGAAAAUUGAAUAACAUUCUUCAUACUUUCACUUGUUAUACCUGUAGCUGGUACCCUAAAAAUCUGUGUGCAGUGUUGGCUUCUGAGGGUAGGAGAUAUUAAUACAUUCAGCUGGCUUGAGUUCUCUAAGUCUUUGAUAGAAAUAUACUGAAAGAAUACAAUAAUUCUCUCGGAACACAUUGUAUGAAGUAUCUUACUGCUCAGUGAUGGUGCCGUGGUCU